UACAGGGGGGGCAAGCGUUGUUCGGAAUUACUGGGCGUAAAGGGUCUGUAGGUGGCCAACUAAGUCGGACGUGAAAUCCCUCAGCUUAACUGGGGAACUGCGUCUGAUACUGGAUGGCUCGAGUGUGGGAGAGGAAUGCGGAAUUCCAGGUGUAGCGGUGAAAUGCGUAGAUAUCUGGAGGAACACCGGUGGCGAAGGCGGCAUUCUGGACCAUAACUGACACUGAGAGACGAAAGCCAGGGGAGCAAACGGG
rnacentral:rRNA from 1 species